AUUGAACGCUGGCGGCAGGCCUAACACAUGCAAGUCGAGCGGAGCGGCGGACGGGUGAGUAAUGCCUAUGUAUCUGCCUGUUAGUGGGGGAUAACGUCCGGAAACGGGCGCUAAUACCGCAUACUAUCAGAUUAGCCUAGGUCGGAUUAGCUAGGUGGUGGGGUAAAGGCCUACCAAGGCGACGAGCCGGAACUGGUCUGAGAGGAUGAUCAGUCAAACUGGAACUGAGACACGGUCCAGACUCCUACGGGAGGCAGCAGUGGGGAAUAUUGGAAAAUGGGCGAAAGCCUGAGCCAGCCAUGCCGCGUGUGUGAAGAAGGUCUUCGGAUUGUAAAGCACUUUAAGUUGGGAGGCGUUACCAACAGAAGAAGCACCGGCUAACUUCGUGCCAGCAGCCGCGGUAAUUC
rnacentral:rRNA from 1 species